UCUUUGGGGGCUUGCCCCCGAAGAUGUAGCGGCGGACGGGUGAGUAACACGUGGGCAACCUGCCUGUAAGACUGGGAUAACUUCGGGAAACCGGAGCUAAUACCGGAUAACUCAAGAAACCACAUGGUUUCUUGCUAAAAGAUGGCUCCGGCUAUCACUUACAGAUGGGCCCGCGGCGCAUUAGCUAGUUGGUGAGGUAAUGGCUCACCAAGGCAACGAUGCGUAGCCGACCUGAGAGGGUGAUCGGCCACACUGGGACUGAGACACGGCCCAGACUCCUACGGGAGGCAGCAGUAGGGAAUCUUCCGCAAUGGACGAAAGUCUGACGGAGCAACGCCGCGUGAGUGAUGAAGGUUUUCGGAUCGUAAAACUCUGUUGUUAGGGAAGAACAAGUAUCGUUCGAAUAGGGCGGUACCUUGACGGUACCUAACCAGAAAGCCACGGCUAACUACGUGCCAGCAGCCGCGGUAAUACGUAGGUGGCAAGCGUUGUCCGGAAUUAUUGGGCGUAAAGCGCGCGCAGGCGGUCUUUUAAGUCUGAUGUGAAAGCCCCCGGCUCAACCGGGGAGGGUCAUUGGAAACUGGGAGACUUGAGUGCAGAAGAGAAGAGUGGAAUUCCACGUGUAGCGGUGAAAUGCGUAGAGAUGUGGAGGAACACCAGUGGCGAAGGCGACUCUUUGGUCUGUAACUGACGCUGAGGCGCGAAAGCGUGGGGAGCAAACAGGAUUAGAUACCCUGGUAGUCCACGCCGUAAACGAUGAGUGCUAAGUGUUAGAGGGUUUCCCCCUUUUGGCUGUGCAGCACAACCCUUUAGCCCUCCCCGG
rnacentral:rRNA from 1 species